rnacentral:rRNA from 1 species
GGGGGGGGGGGGGGGGGGGGGGGGGGGGGGGGGGGGGGGGGGGGGGGGGCGGCGGUGGGGGGGUGCGGGGGUGGGGAGCGGGGGCGGAGGCCGUGAGUAGCCGGGCCUGGACGCUGGGGUAGCGCCAGGGACCUGGGGCUCGUCCCGGAUGGGAGCUCCUGCGGCACGGUGGCGGUUGGACAGUCUCGGCGGUUGGCGCUGGCCUCGCGGCUUAGCAGCUUGUCGGUGCGGCGGUGGCUUACCAAGGCGUUGACGGCUAGCCGGCCUGAGAGGGUGACCGGCCACAUUGGGACUGAGAUACGGCCCAGACUCCUACGGGAGGAAGCAGUGGGGAAUAUUGGACAAUGGGCGGAGGCCUGAUGCAGCAACGCCGCGUGCGGGAGGACGGCCUUCGGGUUGUAACCCGCUUUCGCCUGUGACGAAGCGUGAGUGACGGUAAUGGGUAAAGAAGCACCGGCUAACUACGUG